UCAUUAUACAGCUACAGAGGUGAUAAAUUCAUUGCAGUAAAAAAUAAAUUAAUUGAAAAAAAAAGCCGGUUGGGUAAUUCAUUUCAAAAGUGCCUCCUUGAUGUUGUGUCCUUAAUCUUGAGUUUAUUGUAUUUACUGGUGCCAACAUGAGAGAAUAUCUCUAUCAACUUUGUACCUUCUUUCAUUUUUCUGUCCUCAAGGUACUUUAUGACCCAGGCUGCCUUCUGGAUCAGAAAGAUACUGGAAGCUGUAAAACACACAAAGCCAGGCUUUGUUAUCACCUGCAUGUACGGAAGGACACCGGUCCUGAGUGUGAGCCUCCUCGGGCCCCGGUCACGUCUCCUCCGUCUUUCCCCACCGCGGUCGCCUGGGUCCAUCCCUGGACAGAGGAUGAAGGAAGCCAGCGUGCAAGCAGGCUGCCUGGAGCCAGCUGCCCAAGCUUGGAGAAAGAAUCAGCUGAAAUGAACUGUUCCUUGAAAACGAGAGCAUUCUGGAGAAGGGAGCGAUGAGGAGGAGCUCCUACCCCCUGGGCACUGAAACCCAUCUCACCCAUGCCUGGUUCCUGUAAUGGACGAACUUGAUGCUAAUGG
rnacentral:lncRNA from 1 species